GGUGCCAUCGUUUAAUGGAUAAGACACAGUCCUGCGAAGACUGGAAUACAGGUUCGAUCCCUGUUGGUGCCA
rnacentral:tRNA from 1 species